UGCAGCCUUGUCAAAUUCAGUGCUUCCUCUUCCAUGGAUGCCACUGGCCCAAAUGGCUGCUACAGUGAAGCUGUAGUUCAUGUGCCUCUGUGGUGCUCCAACAUGACCACAGAGGAUA
rnacentral:snoRNA from 1 species